CCUCCCCCUCCCCCUCUCUCAUUCUCUAUCUUUUUCUCAUACCUAUCUUCCAAAUUUUGAAGCCCACAUAACCGUACGUAUAACAUAGUGAGUUAUAGAGAGAGAUGACUCGGGGAAAAGCAGAAGAUUGAGGCGCAAAGAAAAAAUGCAGAGAAGAAUUAGAAGGCCAAAGGGUCUCAACUCGACGCCCGUGCUGCUGGCCUCAAAGUCAUUUGCCCCGUCUGUAAAGUAAUUAAUCCUCGUUUCCUUGUGUUUCUAUUUAUAAAUUAUUUUGUUUUGGUGCAAUUUUGAUCGCUAAUCAUUAGUUCCGGGUUUCAUUACUUUGCUGCUAAUUUUUAAUGGGUUGAAAAAGAAACUGAAUAAACAAUUAAUGGGGUAGCUUCUUUAGUUAAGAUGGUUCCUUAGGGCAUCCUUUUGGCUAGACUAGGCGGAUUAUUACUCUGUAAACAAUUUACUGCUAAACUGAUAGAAAAUUUUAAUGAACUUUAUACACAAUUGAUUCAUCAUAUGAAGUUUUUGAAUUGGUUUAUCUGAUGAAAUCGGGAACAAGGCCCGUAUCUCUUAUUUUGGGUUUGGGUUUAGGUUUGGCGUGGGGAUGCGGUGCAAGGAAGAAGACGACUGGCUUUUUUUUUCUCACUUAUUUUAAUGUAAUAAAUGAAAGUUAUUAUUUCACCCUUUCUAAAAUAUUAAAAAUAUGGUCAAACUCAAAAUUUUUAGUUAACAGACAUUUGGAUGAAAACCGUCCAAAAUGGCCUCCGCCACAACGUUUUCAAAGGUUUGGGGUGACGAUUGCAACAGAUUAAAGAUUUGAGAAAAGUCUGCUAAUAUUUUAAAGGUUUAGGGCCUUGCUACAAUUUUUCCUAAAUUAAAACUAAUGAUUUUCAAAUGGCCCAAUAAUUAAUGGCCCACUAAAGAGCAUCAUCUUCAAUUGGCUCCU
rnacentral:lncRNA from 1 species